UACAGAGGUCCCAAGCGUUGUUCGGAUUCACUGGGCGUAAAGGGUGCGCAGGCGGCUCCGCAUGUCGGGCGUGAAAGCCCCGGGCUUAACCCGGGAAUGGCGUCCGAAACUAUGGAGCUGGAGUGUGGCAGAGGGAGGUGGAAUUCCACGUGUAGCGGUGAAAUGCGUAGAGAUGUGGAGGAACACCGAUGGCGAAGGCAGCCUCCUGGGCCAACACUGACGCUCAUGCACGAAAGCGUGGGGAGCAAACAGG
rnacentral:rRNA from 1 species